rnacentral:rRNA from 1 species
GACGAACGCUGGCGGCGUGCUUAACACAUGCAAGUCGAACGAUGAACCCGGAGCUUGCUCCGGUGGAUUAGUGGCGAACGGGUGAGUAACACGUGAGUAACCUGCCCUUGACUCUGGGAUAACUGCGGGAAACUGUAGCUAAUACCGGAUACGACCCUCGGCGGCAUCGCCAGGGGGUGGAAAGAAUUUCGGUCAAGGAUGGACUCGCGGCCUAUCAGCUAGUUGGUGAGGUAACGGCUCACCAAGGCGACGACGGGUAGCCGGCCUUAGAGGGUGCUCGGCAACACUGGGAAUGGGACCAGGCCCAGACUCAUACGGGUGGCAGCAGUGGGGAAUAUUGCUCAAUGGGCGCAAGCCUGAUGCAGCAACGCCGCGUGAGGAAUGACGGCCUUCGGGUUGUAAACCUCUUUUAGUAGGGAAGAAGCGAAAGUGACGGUACCUGCAGAAAAAGCACCGGCUAACUACGUGCCAGCAGCCGCCGUAA